AGUGAACGCUGGCGGUAGGCCUAACACAUGCAAGUCGAACGGCAGCACAGUAAGAGCUUGCUCUUACGGGUGGCGAGUGGCGGACGGGUGAGGAAUACAUCGGAAUCUACUUUUUCGUGGGGGAUAACGUAGGGAAACUUACGCUAAUACCGCAUACGACCUACGGGUGAAAGCAGGGGAUCUUCGGACCUUGCGCGAUUGAAUGAGCCGAUGUCGGAUUAGCUAGUUGGCGGGGUAAAGGCCCACCAAGGCGACGAUCCGUAGCUGGUCUGAGGGGAUGAUCAGCCACACUGGAACUGAGACACGGUCUAGACUCCUACGGGAGGCAGCAGUGGGGAAUAUUGGACAAUGGGCGCAAGCCUGAUCCAGCCAUACCGCGUGGGUGAAGAAGGCCUUCGGGUUGUAAAGCCCUUUUGUUGGGAAAGAAAAGCAGCAGGUUAAUACCCCGCUGUUCUGACGGUACCCAAAGAAUAAGCACCGGCUAACUUCGUG
rnacentral:rRNA from 1 species